rnacentral:rRNA from 1 species
UGAAUACGAGACGCUACGGCGUCGAAGCAGUCUAUGUCAUACUUCCAAGAAAAGCUCGCAAUGUCAUAAACAAAUAAUGCCUGUACCAUAACCGACACAGGUGGGUAGGUAGAGUAUACUAAGGGGCGCGAGAUAACUCUCUCUAAGGAACUCGGCAAAAUGACUCCGUAACUUCGGGAGAAGGAGUGCCUUAUUUAUAAGGUUGCAAUAACAAGAUCCAAGCAACUGUUUAUCAAAAACACAGGUCUCCGCUAAGUCGUAAGACGAUGUAUGGGGGCUGACGCCUGCCCAGUGCCAGAAGGUUAAAGAAGUUGGUUAGCAUUCGCGAAGCUGAUAACUGAAGCCCUGGUGAACGGCGGCCGUAACUAUAACGGUCCUAAGGUAGCGAAAUUCCUUGUCGGGUAAGUUCCGACCCGCACGAAAGGCGUAAUGAUUUGGAUACUGUCUCGGAGAGGGGCUCGGUGAAAUAGACUUGUCUGUGAAGAUGCGGACUACCUGCACCUGGACAGAAAGACCCUAUGAAGCUUUACUGUAACUUGAAAUUGAAAUUGGACUUUAUUUGCGCAGCAUAGGUGGGAGGCGUUGAGAGUAUUCUUGCGGGAAUAUUGGAGCCAUCAGUGAGAUACCACUCUUGUAAUGUUAGAUUUCUAACUUUGGAUCAUUAUCUGGUCAAAGAACAGUUUCAGGCGGGCAGUUUGACUGGGGCGGUCGCCUCCCAAAUGGUAACGGAGGCGUACAAAGGUUUCCUCUGAACGGGUAGAAAUCGUAUCUAGAGUGUAAAGGCAUAAGGAAGCUUGACUGUGAGACCUACAAGUCGAGCAGGGACGAAAGUCGGUCUUAGUGAUCUGACGGUGCUGAGUGGAAAGGCCGUCACUCAACGGAUAAAAGUUACUCUAGGAUAACAGGCUGAUCUCCCCCAAGAGUUCACAUCGACGGGGAGGUUUGGCACCUCGAUGUCGGCUCAUCGCAUCCUGGGGCGGUAGUACGUCCCAAGGGUUGGGCUGUUCGCCCAUGAAAGCGGUACGCGAGCUGGGUUCAGAACGUCGUGAGACAGUUCGGUCCAUAUCCGUGUAGGCGUUAGAAUAUUGAGAGGAGCCUUCUUUAGUACGAGAGGACCGAGAAGGACAUACCUCUGGUGUACCAGUUAUCGUGCCAACGGUAAACGCUGGGUAGCUAUGUAUGGAGAGGAUAACCGCUGAAAGCAUCUAAGUGGGAAGCCCACCUCAAGAUAAGUGUUCUC